UUAUGAUUUCGGGUAAUUUUCUCAAAGGAUAUUCAUGAACCAUCCCACCAUCACUUAUCUCAUUUUUCCAAAAUCCAACUGAUAGUUAUGUAUUAUUCUGGUGCAUCAUGCAUGGUGAUGAAAGGACUGCUCACUGUUCUUUUCAGAGGACGGGGAAAACAUAUAAUUCGACAACUAUUACAGUUUAUUGAUUGUUUCUACAUGAACUAAACCUCGGCGUGCAUACAUAGCUAUGCCCCCCUCACUGCCCAGAAAUUGCUAGCACAUGGCAAAAACAUAUCAUCUCCAUCUUGACGGCUAAUAUUACUUUUGGCAGCAGCAAAUGCCACUAGGGUCUGGUGCGCAAUAGCUUUUAGCCUUGUCGUAACCUUGGCGUCCGCAGUCAACCUUGCACACGGUGUCGCCGUUGGGUCCUGCCGGCGGCGCGCAGGCUUUCUCGGCUAUGCAUAACUUUGCCCAACCGCCUCUUGUACCUAUGAACAAUGAAGCAGGUUAGCGCACACACAGUCGACCACCAGGACAAUUCUUCUUGCUCAUUCCAAAGUGUGUGCACGAAAGGGGAAAUUGAUAUACAGAGAAACAAGAAGCAUAUGUACCUGAUGCAUGACAGGGCAAGAAGGUGGUAGACAUGAGCAGGAGAGCGAGGAAACACAAGGCCCGAGUGUUACUUCCGGUAGCAGCCAUGAGAAGCUAGCAGCAAGCUAUUGCUUCUUCUUUUCUUCGUGAGAAGUACUGUAGCUACCUAUUUGCUUUCGCUCCGGUGUCACUGGUAGAUGUCAGCAAUGGAAGUAAUGGUUC
rnacentral:lncRNA from 1 species